rnacentral:lncRNA from 1 species
AGCGCCUGCAUGGAUUACCUCCUCUGAGCUGGGAGAGUUGGGACAAGGACUAGGAGCAGUUGUAAGGACUGUGAUGAAAGAAGAGGCAACCUGUACCCAAGGACAGAGUCUUCAGGAUAGAUUCUAUGAUUAUGAAUUUUGUAAUUCAUGCAGAAACUGGUACCCAGGAGCCCUCUUUCUCUCCAGACUAAAGAAAGGACAUUGUUUUUCUGACAUAAACAAAUCUCCAGGGGAAGAGGAAAAUAUCCUUCUAUGUUUAUAAUGCUUUGGAUUGUAAAUAAAUAGCACCAAUGGAGAUAGGUUUGUAAGCCACUCUGGAGAUCUCCAACCUCCAAGGCAUGUUUACCAUUCAAACAUCCUUUAAACCUAAUUUCUGACAAGUUUGCUUAGAAAGCCCUUAGUGUGCAGAAAUAUGAAAAUAUUAAUUGUUUUUCUGUAACUGGUAAAUGAGUCAUAUUUUAUUUUCCCUUUUCGAAGUACUUGUGCCAUUUCUGAGUCAUCUUCAUUUAUUUUUCUAUAAACAUUGUUCAUAGUCAAGCUCUCUCUAAGGAGCUUCUAUGCUUCUUUAAGUAUGUGGAGUUCACUGAAAGUGGUAGUAUCAGUAUUACCUUGGGUUACAAGAUAUAGUUAAAUUCGAG